rnacentral:rRNA from 1 species
GGAGGGGGCUAGCGUUGCUCGGAAUGACUGGGCGUAAAGGGCGCGUAGGCGGUUUUUUAAGUGAGGCGUGAAAGCCCUGGGCUUAACCCAGGAAGUGCGUUUCAUACUGGAAAGCUUGAGUGCGAGAGAGGAAAGUGGAAUUCCUAGUGUAGAGGUGAAAUUCGUAGAUAUUAGGAAGAACACCAGUGGCGAAGGCGACUUUCUGGCUCGCAACUGACGCUGAGGCGCGAAAGCGUGGGGAGCAAACAGGAUUAGAUACCCUGGUAGUCCACGCCGUAAACGAUGUGUGCUAGACGUUGGAAGGGAACUUUCAGUGUCGCAGCUAACGCGUUAAGCACACCGCCUGGGGAGUACGGUCGCAAGAUUA